AUUGAACGCUGGCGGCAGGCCUAACACAUGCAAGUCGAACGAGUGGCGGACGGGUGAGUAAUGUCUGGGAAACUGCCUGAUGGAGGGGGAUAACUACUGGAAACGGUAGCUAAUACCGCAUACCAUCAGAUGUGCCCAGAUGGGAUGGGCUUGUUGGUGGGGUAACGGCUCACCAGGGCGACGAUCCCUAGCUGGUUUGAGAGGAUGACCGGCCAAACGGGAACUGUGCAACGGCCCAGACUCCUAGGGAGGGAACCAGUGGGGAAUAUUCCACAAUGGGCGCAAGCCUGAUGCAGCCAGGCCGCGGGGAGGAAGAAGGCCUUCGGGUUGUAAAGUUUUUUCAGCGGGGAGGCGUUACCCGAAGAAGAAGCACCGGCUAACUCCGUGCCAGCAGCCGCGGUAAUAC
rnacentral:rRNA from 1 species